rnacentral:lncRNA from 1 species
CGGCCGGCGCAGCGUAGGGGCUGGGCGGCCUGCGGGUCCCGGCAGCUGGGUUGAUGGGUGACUCCGGCGCAGUUCCGCGGGUGGGGGCAGCUCUCGCGGCCAGUGCGGUCUGGGGCGGUCAGUUGGGGUCGGAAAUGCGGAGGUCCUGGCGGCAACCGAUGGCCCGAGCACUGCAGUAGAGGGUCUUGCCGCAUGGAGCGCAGCCGCCAGGGCAGGCGAGUGCGGAGGAUGCCGAGGGGCGAGGCGCCGAGCGCCGAGGCCGUGAGGGAUUCAACUUAUCAAACCAGAUGUGAUCUUCCCACUGGAGCUAGAGCAGCCCUGGGCAGUAGGUGAAGAUACAGCAAGUCAGACCUUUCCAGAAUACUGGAAAGUUGAUGAUUAGAAAGUAUGGCAGCAAGAAUUCCAUGACAGGAUUUAAAAAAUGGAACAAGUCUGUGAAACAAAUGCAAGUGGAAAAAUAUUUCAGUUUGGCAUGAACCUUCCACCUUUAAAGCAAAUGCCAAAUAAGCAUGUCUCAAAUGGAAAACAUCUGAAAUACUCAUUAGAUUUAUUUACUCAGACUGGAAAUUGUGGAAGAAAGAAAGCUGGUAAGUUUGGGCAGCCGGGUGGCUCAACAGUUUGGCGUCUGCCUUUGGCCUAGGGCCUGAUCCUGGAGACCCAGGAUCGAGUCUCACAUCAGGCUCCCUGCAUGAAGCCUGCUUCUCCCUC